CCUGAGUUUUUGGACUGUCAGUGUAUUACCCUCACUUGACAUUUUGUGUGUGUGUAUGCGUGCCAAGCGGUAGCUCGAUGCCAUUACAUCUUCACACACACACACACAUACUGGUUUCCCGCAAUUGAUUACACACAACCGGAAGAGGCCAGGAAUUUUCCCGGGAGCACGCGGUGGGAAGAUGUAAUGGAGAAGUCGACAGGCUGAAAGACAAUGAAAAUGCCAAAACGGAGGAAAUUAAAUCCAAAGCAAGAUGCAGAGUUUCACAUUGAAACUAGAAAAGACAAAAGAGGACUUGAUGCUAAAUACAUCAGUGAUUUCAAAGGUAGGGGUGUCUUUGCUUGUGAGCCAUUUGAGAAAGGAGACUUCCUUUUAGAAUAUCGUGGUGAACUUGUCAGCAAACAGGAAUGUGAGAGACGAGUGAGGGUUUACCAUGAUGCCUUGAAACAUUUUAUGUUCGAGUUUCGCUUUGAUGGAAAACUUUGGUGUGUUGACGCAGCAAAAGAAGAUGGAUCGCUUGGCAG